rnacentral:rRNA from 1 species
UACAGAGGGGGCAAGCGUUGUUCGGAAUUACUGGGCGUAAAGGGCGCGUAGGCGGCCUGCUAAGUCGAACGUGAAAUCCCUGGGCUCAACCCAGGAACUGCGUCCGAUACUGGUUGGCUUGAAUCCGGGAGAGGGAUGUGGAAUUCCAGGUGUAGCGGUGAAAUGCGUAGAUAUCUGGAGGAACACCGAUGGCGAAGGCAGCCAUCUGGACCGACACUGACGCUGAGGCGCGAAAGCGUGGGGAGCAAACAGG